GUUUGACCUCGGAUCAGGUAGGGUUACCCGCUGAACUUAAGCAUAUCAAUAAGCGGAGGAAAAGAAACCAACAG
rnacentral:rRNA from 1 species